AGCUUCCAAAAUAACUUUUAUUACUAUAUAAAAACAAGAAAAAAAUAGAUGCAUAUUUUUUCUACAAAAUUACAAAAUAUUCAAGCUAUUUAACAUUUUUGCAUAAAUGUAUUGAGAUUAAAAAGGUAGAUUUUAAACAGAGGAAUCUUUCCCACUUAAAGUUUUCAGGUACUUUGUAGAGGAUAAAGAAGUUUUCAUUCUUCUAUACUUUCCUAUG
rnacentral:lncRNA from 1 species